rnacentral:rRNA from 1 species
UACGUAGGGACCGAGCGUUGUCCGGAAUCAUUGGGCGUAAAGAGCGUGUAGGCGGCUAUUUAAGUCCUGCGUGAAAUCCUGCGGCUCAACCGGGGAGGGUGGCUGGAAACUGGCAGGCUAGAGUGCGGGAGAGGAGAGUGGAAUUCCUGGUGUAGCGGUGAAAUGCGCAGAUAUCAGGAAGAACACCCGUGGCGAAGGCGGCUCUCUGGAACGCAACUGACGCUGAGACGCGAAAGCGUGGGGAGCAAACAGG